GAUGAAGAACGCAGCGAAAUGCGAUAAGUAGUGUGAAUUGCAGAAUUCAGUGAAUCAUCGAAUCUUUGAACGCACAUUGCGCCCUUUGGUAUUCCAAAGGGCAUGCCUGUUCGAGCGUCAUUUGUACCCUCAAGCUUUGCUUGGUGUUGGGCGUCUUGUCUCUAGCUUUGCUGGAGACUCGCCUUAAAGUAAUUGGCAGCCGGCCUACUGGUUUCGGAGCGCAGCACAAGUCGCACUCUCUAUCAGCAAAGGUCUAGCAUCCAUUAAGCCUUUUUUUCAACUUUUGACCUCGGAUCAGGUAGGGAUACCCGCUUAACUUAAGCAUAGCAAUAAGCGGAGGA
rnacentral:misc_RNA from 1 species